rnacentral:tRNA from 1 species
GGAGAGGUGGCUGAGCGGUUGAAAGCGGCUCCCUGCUAAGGAGUUAUAGGAGUAAUUCUAUCGGGGGUUCGAAUCCCCCCCUCUCCG